UACGUAGGGUGCAAGCGUUAAUCGGAAUUACUGGGCGUAAAGCGUGCGCAGGCGGUUGUGCAAGACAGAUGUGAAAUCCCCGGGCUCAACCUGGGAAUGGCAUUGGUGACUGCACGGCUAGAGUGUGUCAGAGGGGGGUAGAAUUCCACGUGUAGCAGUGAAAUGCGUAGAGAUGUGGAGGAAUACCGAUGGCGAAGGCAGCCCCCUGGGAUAACACUGACGCUCAUGGCAACAGAAAGCGUGGGGAGCAAACAGG
rnacentral:rRNA from 1 species